rnacentral:rRNA from 1 species
GGUUAAGUGACUAAGCGUACACGGUGGAUGCCUAGGCAGUCAGAGGCGAUGAAGGGCGUGCUAAUCUGCGAAAAGCGUCGGUAAGGUGAUAUGAACCGUUAUAACCGGCGAUACCCGAAUGGGGAAACCCAGUGUGUUUCGACACACUAUCAUGUCAUGAAUACAUAGUGGCAUGAGGCGAACCGGGGGAACUGAAACAUCUAAGUACCCCGAGGAAAAGAAAUCAACCGAGAUUCCCCCAGUAGCGGCGAGCGAACGGGGAGGAGCCCAGAACCUGAAUCGGCUUGUGUGUUAGUGGAAGCGUCUGGAAAGUCGCGCAGCAAAGGGUGAUAGCCCCGUACACUAAAAUGCACAGGUCGUGAGUUCGAUGAGUAGGGCGGGACACGUGACAUCCUGUCUGAAUAUGGGGGGACCAUCCUCCAAGGCUAAAUACUCCUGACUGACCGAUAGUGAACCAGUACCGUGAGGGAAAGGCGAAAAGAACCCCGGCGAGGGGAGUGAAAUAGAACCUGAAACCGUGUACGUACAAGCAGUGGGAGCACCUUCGUGGUGUGACUGCGUACCUUUUGUAUAAUGGGUCAGCGACUUAUAUUUUGUAGCAAGGUUAACCGUAUAGGGGAGCCGUAGGGAAACCGAGUCUUAACUGGGCGAAUAGUUGCAAGGUAUAGACCCGAAACCCGGUGAUCUAGCCAUGGGCAGGUUGAAGGUUGGGUAACACUAACUGGAGGACCGAACCGACUAAUGUUGAAAAAUUAGCGGAUGACUUGUGGCUGGGGGUGAAAGGCCAAUCAAACCGGGAGAUAGCUGGUUCUCCCCGAAAGCUAUUUAGGUAGCGCCUCGUGAACUCAUCUUCGGGGGUAGAGCACUGUUUCGGCUAGGGGGCCAUCCCGGCUUACCAAACCGAUGCAAACUCCGAAUACCGAAGAAUGUUAUCACGGGAGACACACGGCGGGUGCUAACGUCCGUCGUGAAGAGGGAAACAACCCAGACCGCCAGCUAAGGUCCCAAAGUCAUGGUUAAGUGGGAAACGAUGUGGGAAGGCAUAGACAGCCAGGAUGUUGGCUUAGAAGCAGCCAUCAUUUAAAGAAAGCGUAAUAGCUCACUGGUCGAGUCGGCCUGCGCGGAAGAUGUAACGGGGCUAAACCAUGCACCGAAGCUGCGGCAGCGACGCUUAGGCGUUGUUGGGUAGGGGAGCGUUCUGUAAGCCGUUGAAGGUGGCCUGUGAGGGUUGCUGGAGGUAUCAGAAGUGCGAAUGCUGACAUAAGUAACGAUAAAGCGGGUGAAAAGCCCGCUCGCCGGAAGACCAAGGGUUCCUGUCCAACGUUAAUCGGGGCAGGGUGAGUCGACCCCUAAGGCGAGGCUGAAAAGCGUAGUCGAUGGGAAACAGGUUAAUAUUCCUGUACUUGGUGUUACUGCGAAGGGGGGACGGAGAAGGCUAGGCUAGCCGGGCGACGGUUGUCCCGGUUUAAGCGUGUAGGGGGUGUGACCUGGUAAAUCCGGUUGCAUGCUAACCCUGAGGCGUGAUGACGAUGCACUACGGUGCAGAAGUAGUUGAUGCCCUGCUUCCAGGAAAAUCCUCUAAGCUCCAGGUAACAUUAAAUCGUACCCCAAACCGACACAGGUGGUCAGGUAGAGAAUACCAAGGCGCUUGAGAGAACUCGGGUGAAGGAACUAGGCAAAAUGGUGCCGUAACUUCGGGAGAAGGCACGCUGGCAUGUAGGUGAAGUCCCUCGCGGAUGGAGCUGAAGCCAGUCGAAGAUACCAGCUGGCUGCAACUGUUUAAUAAAAACACAGCACUGUGCAAACACGAAAGUGGACGUAUACGGUGUGACGCCUGCCCGGUGCUGGAAGGUUAAUUGAUGGGGUCAGCCGCAAGGCGAAGCUCUUGAUCGAAGCCCCAGUAAACGGCGGCCGUAACUAUAACGGUCCUAAGGUAGCGAAAUUCCUUGUCGGGUAAGUUCCGACCUGCACGAAUGGCGUAAUGAUGGCCAGGCUGUCUCCACCCGAGACUCAGUGAAAUUGAACUCGCUGUGAAGAUGCAGUGUACCCGCGGCAAGACGGAAAGACCCCGUGAACCUUUACUAUAGCUUGACACUGAACAUUGAGCCUUGAUGUGUAGGAUAGGUGGGAGGCUUUGAAGCGUGGACGCCAGUCUGCGUGGAGCCAUCCUUGAAAUACCACCCUUUAAUGUUUGAUGUUCUAACUCGGCCCCGUGAUCCGGGGUGAGGACAGUGUCUGGUGGGUAGUUUGACUGGGGCGGUCUCCUCCCAAAGAGUAACGGAGGAGCACGAAGGUUAGCUAAUCACGGUCGGACAUCGUGAGGUUAGUGCAAAGGCAUAAGCUAGCUUGACUGCGAGAGUGACGGCUCGAGCAGGUACGAAAGUAGGUCUUAGUGAUCCGGUGGUUCUGAAUGGAAGGGCCAUCGCUCAACGGAUAAAAGGUACUCCGGGGAUAACAGGCUGAUACCGCCCAAGAGUUCAUAUCGACGGCGGUGUUUGGCACCUCGAUGUCGGCUCAUCACAUCCUGGGGCUGAAGUAGGUCCCAAGGGUAUGGCUGUUCGCCAUUUAAAGUGGUACGCGAGCUGGGUUUAGAACGUCGUGAGACAGUUCGGUCCCUAUCUGCCGUGGGCGUUGGAAGAUUGAGAGGGGUUGCUCCUAGUACGAGAGGACCGGAGUGAACGCACCACUGGUGUUCGGGUUGUCAUGCCAAUGGCAUUGCCCGGUAGCUAAGUGCGGAAAAGAUAAGCGCUGAAAGCAUCUAAGCGCGAAACUUGCCUCAAGAUGAGUCUUCCCUGGGCCUUCAAGGCCCCUGAAGGAACGUUUAAGACUAAGACGUUGAUAGGCUGGGUGUGUAAGUGCAGCGAUGCAUUGAGCUAACCAGUACUAAUGAUCCGUGAGGCUUAACCUU